UAGUAAAUCUCUCCAAGUUUCUCCAGCCCAGCCCUUUGCCUGCAUUAAAAUAACCUGGGUGUGCACACUCCGCUUUAACUUCUUCCAAGCACCCCAUAAACCAGCCACAGUGGAGGGCAUGGGCGUGAAGGAAGCUCAGCCCCUCAGUCACUUCCUCCCCCACUUCAGAGCCAGGCUGGCCACGUUCACCCGUCUUCUGAAGAGGAUCCAGUGGAAAGUGGGCACACCCGCCUUCUCCGUUAACUCAAAUAAACUAUUCCAUCUGCGUCAGGUGAACUCACGCCUUCAUGUUGCGACCAAAUGUUUCAAAUUUCUUAUAGGUUUGCCCAAUAUCCAACACCACCUGAAAGAAGCUACUUGAGGUCACAUAAGAAGGAAAAAGGCUCUGACCAGAGGCAUGCCUUGGCGACUUCGGGGAGAUUCCUUGAACUUUCAAAGCUUCCUCAUACCUGUUACUUUCAGCACCCACCAUCGAAUUCCACAGAAGGAUUGGCAGCUUUGGGGCUCCGG